UCUCACGUAAUGGCGGAUUUCACUGUUGCAUGCUGUAACAGUGUUAAACACAGUUAUUCACUUAUAUCCUUCAUGGAAACUUUCAGUAAGCCUGAACUGUUGUAUCUUUUAAGUGUGUGCUGUAAUAUGAUUCCAUGUUUACAUGCUUAUUUACAAACGAGUACGCGUGACCUCCCGUAAUGGCGGAUAUCUGUUACAUGUUGUACAGUGUUAAGACACAGUUAUUCACUUUCGUAUCUGUCAUGGCAACUUUGAGUGAAUGCUGCAUUGCGGGAUUUGUUGUAAAAUGAUUCCAUAUUGUUUACAUGCAAGGUAAUUCCAUACAUUGCGCUUUACACGCGACACCGUUUUUAUGAGCGCUGCGUUCGGAGCGGAGACGCGAGCUCGCGCACAUGUGAUGUGUUUUUAAAGUUCAUACGCGCUUACAGAAACACGUUUAAAACAGAAGCUAGACGAUAAGGGGAUGGGCAUCUGAAAACAGUCAUCUGAAAACAGCUGUUUAUAUUAAUUGCUGCAGAUGUUUAUCUGAGAUUAAGUUUAUGUACAAUAUAGUUUAUGAAUGUAGUAUCAUAUUUACCCAUCAGUUAUAUAUGUAAGGGUAUUUCUGUGGACAAUUUAUGCUAACAGCUGUUCAUAACUCUCUUAGAGGUCUGCAUCUCUCUCAUCAGUACAAAACUAUGAAGUGGAAAAACACUUUUUGGACAAAGUUAUAUGGUAACAUGAGCCACAUGAAGUUUACAGCUCUGUUGUGUAUCAGUUUCUUAGUUUAUACAAAGUUUUAGGAAUAGGGUAUGUUUCCAAAUAAACUUAAAAUGUCCUACUAACCAUCAUUUCUAUUUUGAUUAUAUUGUUAACUUAAUAAACCUCAAACAAACAUGUAUACAUUUGUCCUCACAUUCUUCACUGUAGUUCAUUCUCACAUUCCUGCCUCAUUAUGCACUCAUUAUGCAAGCCUUUGUUUGCUUGCUGUCAAUCAAUCCUUCUCGCAUACGGCCCGUCUAAACAAAAAGUGUCUUACAAUUUCUAAAUCAAUACAUUGUUUUAUGUGAAUAAGUAGGCAUGGUGAUUGUCACAUCAUUUUAAAGAAAAAACUCUAGACUACUAGAUUCUGUUUAGGAAAGUCUUGUUAAAACAUGUUUAGUAUGAGUUUUGUGGACUUAUAUCAGUGACUUAAAAAUUUUGCUUUUUUAAAAACCACGCAUAAACCUUUUUCUCUCAAAAAUUCAAACAUGUACAUACAUGUAGCUCAUAUAACAUUUUAGCCCAGUUUGUGCUGAACGCAGUGGUAUGAGACACUUGCCAUUAUUAUGUUUUAAAGCAACUGAAAAAAGACCAAAUGUAAGAGCAUGUCAGAACCUCUGAGAGUGUCCCAAAAUGGUCGGACCCCAGAGGGUUAAACUGCGUCCCAAACCAUUUGUAGUGAUGGAGUUGCUGUUUUGUUUUCUUUAUUUUUUUAAGCUUUCUAACCCCAAAAUUCAACUGAUUUCUAAAGUUUUCCUUCUGUGAUCCUUGGAGAGUCUUUGGCCACACAAAUUACUCUCCUUGCUGAGUAUUAAGAUAAUAUGGACACAUGUCCUCUUUAAGCCAGAUUUGCAACAUCUCCAGUUUAUUAAAUUGUCUUUGUUAUUGCCCUGAAAUAGAUAUUUUAUGUCUUUUUUAUUUCCUUAAAGCCACUUUUAGUUUUUGUAGCUCAACAAUCUUUUGCUGCACACCAGAACUAUACUCUUUGGGUUUAUGCACUGUGAUGACUGAUUAAGAAAGCCAUGAGUGAAAAACAUAAUGGCUCUCAUUUAUCAUUCUUGCGUAGAAACGGGCGUUUAUGUUGGCGUAAGAUUAUACUUACACUCCUCUCACCGCCUGAUUUAUGAAACUGUGCUUACCGUUGAAUUUCAGGUGUACGCAAUACCUGCCCUUCAUUAGAAUAACACGCCCAUAUAAAUUCAAGUCUCCGCCUCCCCCAUGCCCUCAUUUUACGCCAUGGACACACGGAAUACGGCAAAGAAGAGAAACCAGCUAAAAAUGUAUCGCGAUGUCUGUUAAAAGUUGAUCCGGCUCACCGUGUUACAGCCAGUGAGCUGCUAGAUAACCCUUGAAUUUCGGGGGAUACAUCCACCACAACGUGCACUAACGUCCUUGAACUCAUGCGUACGUUUCAGGACUCACGAAACGACGAAGAAACUGUAGAGAUGAGUGAUAGACUGCAGGGCCUUUCUGUCAUAUCCACUCAGG